AAGAGCAGGAUUAGAAUCAAGUGCAUUUUUUGUUUUUAAAAAGAAUAGCGGAUCGAAUGGUGCGCAAUGGGAACUAAAGCUGCUGAGUGCCCGCGGGACAAACGAUCGUCAGGUCAGUCGCCUGCAGCCGGCACUGUCUCAGCGGCCAGUAUCUGCUAUUCUGGUGGUCUUCUCUUUUCUGCUGGUUUCUCUACCAUAAGGAUUGUACAGUAAGCUAAAAAAAAAAAAAAAAGACAUCUGGGCUACCCACUUCAGCCGACUAUUUAAUAUUACAAUACUAAGUGUAGUAGUGUAUCACAAUAACCAAAUAAGCAGUGUCAGCAUCUGUUAUCAGGAUCUGUUAUCAGGAUCGUUGCAAAACGAGAUCAGAACCAUCCACUUAUUGGCCUGACUCACCAUACACAUCCUCUGGCCGGAUUUGUCUGGCGUUUGCCUCCCUCAGCAGAUGCCUUGUUCUAACUGGUCCACACUGCAGAAUCCAGGGUGUGAUGCAGGAGAUUGUCAAAGUAUCCGGAAACUUUUCAAAUGAACAAGAAUGAACGACAAAAAUGAAAAUAGCAAAACUCUCUCCUGACUCACUCAAAAACGAGUGAAUGAGGCAAAGCCUACCAGUGCAGACAGAAACAAUAGUGCUACAGAAGAGACAAAGGAAAGGAAAUCUGCAGUGGUGUUAAUCUGUAGUAAUGGGGCACCAUAUUUGCCAUGAUUGUUGCAAGGAGAUACAGAAAAAGAGGCUCUGAAGAAUGGAUUGGUAGGUCAGUUUCGUGCAACGUUCAUUAUCAGUCUUUCCAAGUAUCAGGAGAGGAAAAAUUCAAAACGCACACCUUGGUUGUGGUACUUAUCCCUGCCUUAUCAGUAGCAGGUGAACCGCAUUAUUUCCAGAAGAAACAGACCAAUGUCAGGAUUCACUCACUGACCAGCCACAUCAAACCAACUUUCAGCACUGUUGCCAAGUUCCAUAAGAAGAUGCUCCAAGAUGUGUUACUGAGAGCAAAAAGCCUCAUUGUUUGAAAGUAAUCUCCCCAACUGCCUGCUCCACAACCCCCAAGGUCUUCCAGCAGACACAUAAAAUACAUAAUUUCCAUUUCCGUAUGUGGCUUGGAAUGCUUAUUGUCAUCACGCUAUUGUGUCUGCUGCAAACAUUUGUGUUCUGAAAGAAUAAUGACUUACAGCUCCUUAGGAGGCAUGAGGGACCCAAGGCCUCUGUCUCUUCCCACCUGCUGUGCGCUGUCACCUCCACUUCCUUCCAUCCCGAGAAGCUUUGGGAUUGCAGUGAGUCCACAGGUGAACAUCUCUCUACUAUACCAGGGAUGCAACGUUUAGUUCAUCCCAAGCCCAGCACAGAAAGGGGACUCAGACAGGGUAGCCUCAGAGGCACAUCCUUCCUUCCUUCCUCACCUCCGUGGGCUACAGCGGACCCAGUGACAAGGGGAGAGACAAAGGAGAGGGAGAAGGUCAGGGAGGUCUCUGUCUGGAGCCAGCAGGGCAAUGCUACCCUUAAUCCUGAGGCCCCCAAAACUCCCUACUCCGUCUGCCUGCCAGGAUCCCAAAUGCUGCCAGCCGUUCCACUGCACCAAGACGCUUGUUCCCUACAUUUCUUCAUUAAAUAAAUGAAUAAAAAUCA